ACGCGGUGGACUGUAAAUCCAUUCCUUCGGGUUCGGAGGUUCGAAUCCUCUCCCCCCCA
rnacentral:tRNA from 1 species